rnacentral:rRNA from 1 species
ACGCUGGCGGCUGCCUUACACAUGCAAGUCGAACGGCAGCACGGGGGCAACCCUGGUGGCGAGUGGCGAACGGGUGAGUAAUACAUCGGAACGUGUCCUGGAGUGGGGGAUAGCCCGGCGAAAGCCGGAUUAAUACCGCAUACGCUCUGUGGAGGAAAGCGGGGGAUCUUCGGACCUCGCGCUCAAGGGGCGGCCGAUGGCAGAUUAGGUAGUUGGUGGGGUAAAGGCCUACCAAGCCGACGAUCUGUAGCUGGUCUGAGAGGACGACCAGCCACACUGGGACUGAGACACGGCCCAGACUCCUACGGGAGGCAGCAGUGGGGAAUUUUGGACAAUGGGCGCAAGCCUGAUCCAGCAAUGCCGCGUGUGUGAAGAAGGCCUUCGGGUUGUAAAGCACUUUUGUCCGGAAAGAAAACCUCUGGGUUAAUACCCCGGUGGGAUGACGGUACCGGAAGAAUAAGCACCGGCUAACUACGUGCCAGCAGCCGCGGUAAUACGUAGGGUGCGAGCGUUAAUCGGAAUUACUGGGCGUAAAGCGUGCGCAGGCGGUGAUGUAAGACCGAUGUGAAAUCCCCGGGCUUAACCUGGGAACUGCAUUGGUGACUGCAUCGCUCGAGUAUGGCAGAGGGGGGUAGAAUUCCACGUGUAGCAGUGAAAUGCG